rnacentral:rRNA from 1 species
AUGGCGACACCCGGCUCGCACUCCCUCUCCGGCGACCGCGUAUCCUCCGGGGAUGGACGUUGGUUUGACUCGGAUGGUGAGUCCUCCGCGCGCUCCUAUAGCGAGGCCACCCGCUCACCGCCGGCUCCCCGGAGCGCUGCUCCCGCGCCGCCUCCUGCGCCUGGUCCCGUGGCGGCGACCACGCGGCUGCCUGCCUCGGCCCGCAUUGGUCCCCGCUCCGAGGUGCAUCGCAUCUUGUGGGGCGCCGUGGUGGAUGCUGACGGGUUCCAGCAUCCACAUCGCAGGAACCGCUGCUGCCCCUGA